AAACAGCUGCAUUAUCUGCAGUCUGUGUGAUCACAGCUGCUUCAAUCAUGUUUGUGUCUGCAGAGGUCAGAGGUCACAGUCUGCAGGGUCCAGCUGUCCGUCUGUGAGGAGUGACCGGUCCAAAGGUCUGCCUCCACAGUUCAGUGGUGAACCUGGACCAACGAGAGUGGACCAGCAGAGCUCAGAGGUUCCCAGUGGUCAGUCUGCCCAGCAGCAUCAAACACAGCUGGACUCCAUAUUUAUGCUGCUGGAGGACAACAUCAUCACUUUUGUGAAGACCGAGCUGAAGAAGAUCCAGAAG